UACAGAGGGUGCGAGCGUUAAUCGGAAUUACUGGGCGUAAAGCGUGCGCAGACGGUUGCGUAAGUCAGAUGUGAAAGCCCCGGGCUCAGCCUGGGAAUUGCAUUUGAGACUGCGUAGCUAGGGUGCGGAAGAGGGAAGCGGAAUUUCCGGUGUAGCGGUGAAAUGCGUAGAUAUCGGAAGGAACACCAGUGGCGAAAGCGGCUUCCUGGUCCAGCACCGACGUUCAGGCACGAAAGCGUGGGGAGCAAACAGG
rnacentral:rRNA from 1 species